rnacentral:rRNA from 1 species
AGGAUGAACGCGGGCGGCGUGCCUAACACAUGCAAGUCGAACGAAGAGGCUCCUUCGGGAGUACUUCGGUGGCGAAUGGGUGAGUAACACGUAGGUGACCUGCCCCGAAGCAGGGGAUAACGGCUCGAAAGGGCCGCUGAUACCCAAGAGCAUCCUAUGUCGCAGUAGGAUGAGAGUGCCCGCAAGGGAGGCGUUUCGGGAGGGGCCUGCGGCCCAUCAGCUAGUUGGCAGGGUAACGGCCUACCAAGGCGACGACGGGUAGGGGGCCUGAGAGGGUGAUCCCCCACACUGGUGCUGACACACGGGCCAGACUCCUACGGGAGGCAGCAGUGAGGAAUAUUGCGCAAUGGGCGAAAGCCAGACGCAGCAACGCCGCGUGGACGAAGAAGGCCUUCGGGUCGUAAAGUCCUUUUCAGGGAGACGAGAGAGGACGGUAUCCCUGGAAUAAGUCACGGCUAACUACGUGCCAGCAGCCGCGGUAAAACGUAGGUGGCGAGCGUUAUCCGGAAUCACUGGGCGUAAAGCGCCUGCAGGCGGUCCGGCAAGUGGGAUGUGAGAUCUCCCGGCUCAACUGGGAGGGGUCAUUCCAUACUGACGGACUGGAGGGCAGAAGAGGGAAGUGGAAUUCCCGGUGUAGUGGUGAAAUGCGUAGAUAUCGGGAGGAACACCAGUGGCGAAGGCGACUUCCUGGUCUGCCCCUGACGCUAAGAGGCGAAAGCUAGGGGAGCGAACGGGAUUAGAAACCCCGGUAGUCCUAGCCGUAAACGAUGGAUGCUGGGUGUCGGUGGUCCUAACCCCAUCGGUGCCGAAGCGAACGCGUUAAGCAUCCCGCCUGGGGACUACGGCCGCCAGGGUAAAACUCAAAG